AUCCGCGACCUUCUCCGGUCCUCGCUUACUUUUUCUUGAAAAAAUAAAAUUAAAAAAAUGGACGAAGAGGAAAAAAACGAGAACAAGGAAUGGAGCAGACAGCCUCGGCGGCAGGAAAAACAGCUGACAUGACUCUCUCUUUCUGUCCUCCGUCUCUCUUUCUCACUCUUUCUCGGCCUAAAAAGAAAGAAAGAAAGCCUUCUUUAGUUGUUUUAAUUUCUGUUAGGGUUUCUGAGGGAGGGAGAAGGCUUUUUUUUUUUCCCCUUGUCUUCCUUCUGCUCCCCAUCCCCCAUCAAACCAAGCAUUGUCGGGGUUUCGGAUCCACGGAGGCGUUCCCGGCCCUCAUCGCCAUGGCAGGCCCGUCCUCCUUCUCCCCCUUCUUCUCCUCCACUUCUCCUUCUCCCGUAGUAGGACGUCCUACGCGGAGAAGACGGUAUGAUGGUGGUUUUAGCUGCAGCAAUCAUACAACCUUGCAUUGAGAGCUAGAUUCUUGUCCUUCUGAUACUAUAAGCAGAUAUAUUGUGUUAGACAAGGACAUGUUUGGAGAACCAGGGAAUGAAGCCACCGGUCCGGGAGCACAUACAUAUGUUUUUGUAUUAUAAUAUUGAAAUUUGAGAUAUUCAGUGAAUGAUUCAGGCAGUUCCAUAUAUAUUUAUUUUCAGAUUCAGUUAAAUGGCUAAUAU